UAGAAGGAUAUGCCUGACUGAGAGAAAAGCCUGAGUAAGGUGCUGAGUUAUCAGGACAUAUGUAAUGAAUCCAGUAUAACACCCCUACUUCCUUGAGCCUUCCGACCUUUUCUUCAAUAUGAUAUCAAGGAAGUUCUGUCAUCUCCACUUCAUUUGAUGUAGAACAUUAUCAGAUCAAUGCUUCAAGAAGUCAUCUCAUUAAGUUAUUAGGAAUUCUGAAUCAUGGGGUCUCACUGUGUUGACAAGGCUGGUCUUGAACUCCUGGACUCAAGCAAUACUGCUGCCUCAGCCUCUGAAAGUGCUAAGAUCCUGACUUUUCUUCUUAUAAUGACUAAUAAAACAGUUUGCCAGGCUCUGUGCCAAGUGCUUUA
rnacentral:lncRNA from 1 species